rnacentral:lncRNA from 1 species
UUGGGAGUCCUGUGAUCCCUUCUGUAUCUUUUAAGAAGUUAUUUUAUGUCUUAUAAUUGCCUCCAGCAUACUCACCAAUCUUGUCUAAGCUGAGCCUUCGGAUACAGAAGCUGAUUUGGAGGUGAUGGAUCAGAACUCCUUGGUUAAUUGUGAUGGUUGAGCUUCACAAUCAGCUUGACUGCGUCUGAAGCCAUAAAAAACGCAGCUCCGUGGUUCUCAAUGAAUAACAUGAGGGUGGAUUAAAAAGAAAGAACCAGUAUUCUUGAAUCUUUGGUGAACUCCAUUGAAAAAAAUCUUUGUGGAUUUGAACCUGGUCUUCAUGAGAUGCUAAUAGGAGGAAAGGAUUGUGUAUUUUGAAGCAGUCAAGUUCUCCAAAAGUCAUGCCUUGUCUUGCAGACAUUCAGAUUCUUAACACUGUCACUAUGUUCCUUGUUUCCAUUUCAGGAUGACUUGGAGGAAGCAGGAGGAGAAGAGGAGAAGGAGGAAGAGGGAAAUGGGAGAAUGAUUGGCAUUGAUGUCUGAGGUAGUUGAAAUUAAUUCAAAUUUUCAUAUGUAUAUUUUAUGUAAUCUAAGU